ACAAAACAGGUACAACAUACACAUCAGCCUACCGGGGAAAUUCCCUGCCCGCCGGUAUGAUGCUGCUUGUACGGUAUUGCAAUGAACAAACAGCAAAACAAAUUCUAUUUCUCAUCUUACAAUACGGAGUAAAUACAAAAGAGGAACUCUUCGUUACUCAGUACGCAGUCUCAGCUGACACACAAUUCCACAGGCUAACUCAGAAAAUCCUCACUGAAUACAUCACAGCGUGUUUUAUAGACAAGAUGGCACCGCCGUGGGGGAACUCCCGGCCAAGUUAUCUCUCCAGAAUAAUGAGGUUGCUUCAAAAGCAGGAACAUAAGUGGCUGAAAAUGGUUCUUCACGAAUGUUAACAGGAAAAGGAAAAACACGAAUGUUUCCAAUUUAAUGUUGAUGGGUGGUUUGGGUGAUAGAAUUCUCUCUAGCGUUAGGAGAUCUGAG